rnacentral:sRNA from 1 species
UUUUUUUCUUCUUCUUCGUUCAUACAGUUU